AGGAAAAGAAACCAACAGGGAUUGCCCCAGUAACGGCGAGUGAAGCGGCAACAGCUCAAAUUUGAAAUCUGGCCCCCAGGGCCCGAGUUGUAAUUUGCAGAGGAUGCUUUUGGCGCGGUGCCUUCCGAGUUCCCUGGAACGGGACGCCAUAGAGGGUGAGAGCCCCGUCUGGUCGGACGCCUAGCCUGUGUAAAGCUCCUUCGACGAGUCGAGUAGUUUGGGAAUGCUGCUCUAAAUGGGAGGUAUAUGUCUUCUAAAGCUAAAUACCGGCCAGAGACCGAUAGCGCACAAGUAGAGUGAUCGAAAGAUGAAAAGCACUUUGAAAAGAGGGUUAAAUAGUACGUGAAAUUGUUGAAAGGGAAGCGCUUGUGACCAGACUUGGGCCCGGUGGAUCAUCCAGCGUUCUCGCUGGUGCACUCCGCCGGGUUCAGGCCAGCAUCAGUUCGCCGCGGGGGAAAAAGGCUUCGGGAACGUGGCUCCUACGGGAGUGUUAUAGCCCGUUGCAUAAUACCCUGGGGCGGACUGAGGUUCGCGCUCCGCAAGGAUGCUGGCGUAAUGGUCAUCAGCGCC
rnacentral:rRNA from 1 species